CCCAGGCUAACUUUAGAUCUGCGCGCUCUCGAUAUCUUGACUUGUCCUAUGUCUUAAAGUAGAAAUAGAAAAGGUUUGAAACUCCGUGAACGAGAAGACUUGGAGGCCAAAUCAUCCCUGUAAUCUGCUCAACUGGUAGUUGAACCUCUGGAGAUUUUCCAGGUUCGGAGGAAGCUGCAAAAGAUGAGCGAGCAAGAGGUCCAGGUACAUCCAUCAAUGCAACCAAUGAACGACGAGCAAUGUUGGACGAAGAAAAUGGCCAAGGUGAACAUCAUGUGCAAUGUUUCACUUCUUCAACUCCAAACAGUCUCGUCUGCAACUCCAAAAAAACAGUCCCUUCCCUGCGAACGACUUUACACUCCGCCAUGUGUUCUGGCCAGGCACAUCAUCAUGGUGAGAAUGUGAUCUUUCUCCAAGAUGUAUGGGUAAAGUGGAUGGCUAUAGUGGAGUCUUCGCACUUUGAGAAGUGUAUCCCUAAGCUGAGGGUGCUUUAGCUACAGCAGUGCACUUACGGUGAGAUAAAGAGAUUGCAAGCGGCAUUGCUGUCGCUGUCCAGGGCUGGUAUUACGAAG